rnacentral:rRNA from 1 species
UACGUAGGGGGCAAGCGUUGUCCGGAUUUAUUGGGCGUAAAGAGCGUGUAGGCGGCCAUACAGGUCCGUUGUGAAAACUGGAGGCUUAACCUCCAGACGUCGAUGGAAACCGUAUGGCUAGAGUCCGGAAGAGGAGAGUGGAAUUCCUGGUGUAGCGGUGAAAUGCGCAGAUAUCAGGAAGAACACCCGUGGCGAAAGCGGCUCUCUGGGACGGUACUGACGCUGAGACGCGAAAGCGUGGGGAGCGAACAGG